rnacentral:rRNA from 2 species
CAACAGGGAUUGCCCUAGUAACGGCGAGUGAAGCGGCAAGAGCUCAAAUUUGAAAUCUGGCUCCUUUGGAGUCCGAGUUGUAAUUUGUAGAGGGUGCUUUGGUGUCGGCUAUGGCCUAAGUUCCUUGGAACAGGACGUCACAGAGGGUGAGAACCCCGUAUGUGGCUGCUAGCCUUCACCAUGUAAAGCCCCUUCGACGAGUCGAGUUGUUUGGGAAUGCAGCUCUAAAUGGGAGGUAAAUUUCUUCUAAAGCUAAAUAUUGGCCAGAGACCGAUAGCGCACAAGUAGAGUGAUCGAAAGAUGAAAAGCACUUUGGAAAGAGAGUCAAAAAGCACGUGAAAUUGUUGAAAGGGAAGCGCUUGCAGCCAGACUUGCUCGUAGUUGCUCAUCCGAGCUUUUGCUCGGUGCACUCUUCUGCGAGCAGGCCAGCAUCAGUCCGGGCGGUUGGAUAAAGGCUCUGGGAAUGUAGCUCUCUUCGGGGAGUGUUAUAGCCCAGGGUGUCAUGCAACCAGUCUGGACUGAGGUCCGCGCAUCUGCUAGGAUGCUGGCGUAAUGGCUGUAAGCGGCCCGUCUUGAAACACGGACCAAGGAGUCUAACAUCUAUGCGAGUGUUUGGGUGUCAAGCCCGGGCGCGUAAUGAAAGUGAACGGAGGUGGGAACCCUUCGGGGCGCACCAUCGACCGAUCCUGAUGUCUUCGGAUGGAUUUGAGUAAGAGCAUAGCUGUUGGGACCCGAAAGAUGGUGAACUAUGCCUGAAUAGGGUGAAGCCAGAGGAAACUCUGGUGGAGGCUCGCAGCGGUUCUGACGUGCAAAUCGAUCGUCAAAUUUGGGCAUAGGGGCGAAAGACUAAUCGAACUAUCUAGUAGCUGGUUCUGC